UACAGAGGUCCCAAGCGUUGUUCGGAUUCAUUGGGCGUAAAGGGUGCGUAGGCGGUCCUAUAAGUAUGGUGUGAAAUCUCCCGGCUUAACUGGGAGGGUGCGCUAUAGACUGUGGGACUAGAGUGUGGGAGAGGAAAGUGGAAUUCCUGGUGUAGCGGUGAAAUGCGUAGAUAUCAGGAGGAACACCGGUGGUGUAAACGGCUUUCUGGACCAUAACUGACGCUGAGGCACGAAAGCGUGGGUAGCAAACAGG
rnacentral:rRNA from 1 species